rnacentral:lncRNA from 1 species
AGGAAAUUCUAUAAUAUUUUCCAUAAUAGAUGUGCUAAUUUACAUUCCCACUAACCAUACACAACAGUUCGCUUUUCUUCACAUCCUCGCCAACAUUUGGUAUCUUUUGUCUUUUUAAUAAUAGCCAUUCUAACAGCUAUGAAGUGAUAUCUCUUGCUGCUAUGUAAGUAAGUCAUGGUGCAGGGAGGAGGGUAUUGUAAAGACCAAGCAACCAGUUGGGAGGACAAUGGUGCAGUCCAAUUUACUGGUGGCUUGGGAAGAUGUGUGUGUUUGAAUGGAAAGAGGGUGGGUAUAAGGUAGGAAGUCCAGAGUUUUGUGUUAGUCAUGAUAAAUUGAUCAUGACCUGUUAGAUAUCAAUAUAAGAAGAACAAAAUGUCUACUUAGGAAAGAUCUGGGUGAGAGGUGUAAAUUUGAACUUCAUCAGAACAAAGAUAUUAUUUGAAGCAAAGACUGUAGAAAGAGAAAGGAAAAGGUGAAGAACAGAGACCUGAAAAAUUCUGACAUUGAAAAGUCUGGCACAGAAGGGAAAACAAGGAAAAGAAAUUGAGGAAAAGUCACCUUGAGUAGAAGAUGGAUUAAGAAUAAAGGAGUAGUCAAAUAGUUUAUAUACUGGUGAAAGGUCAUAAAAAUAAAAGCCGAAAAUUGUUAUUGGCUUGUCAAGAUGAAGACAAUUGAUGACUUUGACAAAAUUCACUUAGUACUGUCAUGGGGAUGACUGAACUGAAGAUGGAAGGAGUUGAAGUAGCAACAGUGCAAAUAGACUCUCUGCCAGCCACUCUAUCAAUUAAAGGGAUUUUACUCCAUUCAAAGGGAUAUUCUUCCACUCAUACAUGCCCUGCAUGCCAUUUCCUCUCCCUUUCUCUUGGAAUUUGCCUCUACGAUAUUUCUCUCUCAGCCCCGAAACAUUAAUUUCUCAUUCAUGCAAUGAAACCUUCCUAAUUAAGCCAGUAUAACAUGGCUUAAUUUUCACUUAUCUUAAAAAUAUUUCCCUUAAUCGUACUUUUUCAUUCCAAUGACUGCCCUAGUUUUCUACUUUUUUUCUGUCCAAAUUACAGGGUGAAAAUCGGGUUUUAAUCCACAUCAAAUUUAUCAAGAAAUUAGACUUACCCUUAGAAAGAGGGCAGAAACAUGACCCCCUGGUGGAUUUUGUGCCUACCAUGGGUCAGGUAGGCUGAAGAACAACUGGAAUAGAUUAAUUGCCAGCAUAAACACAGGAUCAGGAAUUCACAGGGAUUACCAUUCCAGGAUUAGAGAAGAAUCCGUUUGCCUCAUGAUUGGAACAUGCUGCUGAAAUUCUACAGAAGUGGCAGGCAUCAGAGGCAGAGAAAUGUUGAGUAUUGAAGUCAAAAUCCAAAGACCCAGUACUAGAGAAAAUUCGUGGACUCAAGACCACCAGGAUCUCCAUCAUGGUGACUGACUGUUUUGUAGUUGUUAAAAAGCAGAGCAGAGAAUGUCUGAAACUCAUGUGUUAAAUGCCUCAUUGUGCACCAAUGAACAAAGAAUACUCCCUCACAUUAAAAAAAAAAUCAGAUUUGAGAGACAGCCAUUACAGUCCACACAACAGAAAUUCAGAAUAAUUUGGAGUUGGCUCUUUUGUGAGGAUUUGCAGUAAAAAAUUGGACAGUCUUAUCUGUCAUCUUAAAACUGAAGGACCCUUAGUUUUCUCACUAUUGGCAAAGUUAGCUAAUAGACCUAAGAAGGAAGAAAGACAACCAUGGAUGCCCUCAAGAACGGAAAUUGAGUUCAUGAAGCACUGCAGGUAGAGAUGAACCUCCUGAAAUAAGCCCUUCAGCAGGAGAGCUCCUAGUGUAUCUGGAAUUGGUGGGUUCUUGGUCUCGCUGAGUUCAAGAAUGAAGCCGCGGACCCUGGCAGUGAGUGUUACAGUUCUUAAAGAUGGUGUGUCCGGAGUUUGUUCCUUCAGAUGUUCAGAUGUGUCCAGAGUUUCUUCUUCUGGUGGGUUCAUGGUCUCACUGACUUCAGAGUGAAGCUGCAGACCUUCACGGUGAGUGUUACAACUCAUAAAGGCAGCACAGACCCAAAGAGCGAGCAGCAACAAGAUUUAUUGUGAAGAGAAAGAACAAAUUUUCCACAGCCUGGAAGGGAACCCCAGCUGGUUGCCAGGGCUCCGUCGGGUAGCCUGCUUUUAUUUCCUUAUUCAACCCCACCCACAUCCUGCUGAUUGGUCCAUUUUACAGAGAGCUGAUUGGUCCAUUUUGACAGGGUGCUGAUUGGUGCAUUUAGAAAUCUCGAGCUAGACACAGAAGGCUGAUUGGUGCAUUUACAAUCCUUCAGCUAGACACAAAAGUUCUGCAAGUCCCCACUAGAUUAGCUAGACACAGAGUACUGAUUGGUGCAUUUACAAACCUCUAGCUAGACACAGAGUGCUGAUUGGUGGAUUCACAAACCUUUAGCUAGACACAGAGUGCUGAUUGGUGCAUUCACAAUCCUCCAGGUAGACAGAAAAGUUCUCCAAGUCCCUACCCGUCCCAGAAGCCCAGCCGGCUUCACCUCUCACUGGCACUCGCCUGUGGCGCCUAGCCCGGGCACUCCGGCAGCCCAGUUGGAGCUCCUCCCGCAAUCAAGCCCAGCAGCUGCUGGCCAGCCACGCCCAGUGUGGGGCCGCCAAGCCCCCGCCCACCCGGAACUCUUGAAGGCCUGUGAGCGCCACCAGAAGCCCCGGCUCCCGCAGGCGCCUCUCGCUCCACACCUCCACGCAAGCAGAGGGAGUCGGCUCCAGCCUCGGCCAGCCCCAGAGAGGGGCCCCCACAGUGCAGUGGCGGCCAGAGCGGAUGCCGAGGCCCAGGAGAGGCCGAGAGUGAGCGAGGGCUGCUAGCACGUUGUCACCUCUCACUAACACCAGAAGAGGUGGAGAUGGUCCAUAUUUACAACAUUUGUUGCAGACAAUGAGACAAAUUUAGUCCAUACUCCACAAAUUGCCAGAAGUAAUGUUAUUUGACCCAACAGGAGGGAGAAAGCGGAAUUUGUGUGGAGAGUAAGAUGCUGAUGUUUGGAUGUGCAGAGAAGAGUUUCCAUAUAGCAGGAAAAGCCCUUUUUCCUUUCUCUCCAGCUUGUAAGGAAGAGUCUAGAUAUUCCCACAUAGCACUAAGUUCUUCUAAGGGACAAUACUGGAAAAAGAAGAAAUCACAAGCUGGGUAAAAAGAUAUACCAGAGUUUAGUUUUGAGAAGGGAUGCAGUGCUUGAGAGAAGAAGCUAUCAUCCACAUGAACCAUGAGGUAAAGAGACAGAGAUUGGAUGGAGGAAUUUAAAAUAUAAUUCCUUUUUAUUAGUAAUAUUCUUUCUGUCCUUUGGUAUUUAUUAAAAUAUUGAGUAGAUUAUAACUGAUUAGAUGAGAUUAAAGGUUCUGGGCUUUGUUUUGCUUUUUGUUUCUUGAUUGCUGUUUCUUUGAAUGUAAUUCCAUAUGGUAACUAAGGUCCCAUUUUUAUUUUGAUUAUAUUCUUGAUAAUCCAAACAAGAUAAAAUAAGGAACUAACCUAGGCUGUCGCUGUAAUAAUUUUGAGAAUGGGAUACAAUGAAUAUUUACAUAUUUCAUUAGACAGAAUAAGAUAAUUGCCUUGGACAUAAGGAAAGAAGAGAAAGAAAUAAUCUAAGAUGAUUACCUAGGUUAGUCGAUUGGCUCAGUGAGAAUAGCAACAACUACGGGAUUUGAGGAAGAAAACUAAUAACCUAAGUUGAAGACAACCAGUAGGCAAUGGGAUAUCAAUGUUUGCAGCUUAUGGCAGAGUCAGAGCCAGAACUUCCCCUGCAUGCUGGUGAAAAAUAAACCCAUGGGAAGAGAUGAGAUUCCCUAAGGCAGACGAAUCAGUUAGGAUCUCUAGAGGAAUCCAAGGGCACCCUGAGAUAGUUAAUUGGACAAUUGUUAAUUAAAAUUCUAAAAUGUUAGCCACAAUUAAUAUUCUUCAGAUAAUGUAGCAGUGCAAAAUAAAGAAAAUAGCUAUCAACUAUUAGUAAUAACAUAAGUUAUGUUAUCAUUAGCAUAACAACUAUGCUAUGAUUCUUUGCUUUCCUUAUCCUGUGCCAGCCCUUUUACCUAUGCAGAGUUUUGGAUCUGAUGGAGUGACUCAUACGUUUAUUCUCAUAGAUUCUAAGCAAUUGAUGGUCAUGUCUUAGCACAUGGAUUAGCACUGUUUUCUAAGGAUAAUUAGGCAAGGGAGUUUCAAGUGAUACCCCAGUGAUGCCUCUAAGUUCCAAACACAGUCUUUUUUAUUCUACUAAGUAACAGUAACCCAAUUUGUUUCUAGUUAUUGUGACAAAUCACCCAGGAGAGUGUAGUGAUCUCCACCUUCUCUGCCUGAUGGUUCAGCAGCAUGAGAUGCCCAAAAUGUCCUGGGAAUUGUUUUAGCUUCCAGUUCAUUGGGAAGAUGUUGAUAUUGACUCAUGGAAGCAUUUGGGCAUUAUGACCUUCAAAUUAUUGAACCACAUUAUUUGGGACAGGACGCAAAAUUUCUUCUACUGUGUGAAUAAUUGGGGCGGGGGGUGGGGGCGCUAACCACUUUGAUUCAUGCUUCCAAUACCAGAACUUUGGGAGGUCAAGGUGGCAGGAUUGCUUGAGCCCAGGAUUUCAUGAUUGGUCUUGGAAACAUAGUGAGAUCCCAUCUGUACAAAAAAAAAAAAAAAAAAAGAAAGAAAAAUUAGCCAGGCAUAGUGGUGCAUACCUGUAGUCCCAGCCACUUGAGAGGCUGAGGCCAGAAGGCAGGAGAAUCGCUUGAGCCUGAGAGGUCAAGGCUGCAGUGAGCUGUGAUCGUGCCACUGCACUCCAGCCUGGGUGAGAGAGUGAGACCGUGUCUCAAAAAAAAAAGAAAAAGAAAAAAAAAAGAAAAGAGUAAUUGGUGAGAAGAGCCACUUCCACCUCUACGCUUUAACUCACAGACUUACACAUCCUAUUAAUGAAGCCUAAAUUGGUUGCUGGAUUAAAACAUAUACCUCACUAUGUAGGAAUACAAUCCUCACCUCACAAGGUGUUGUCUCCUUGUUUGAACUGUAACUGAGCCUUUAGUGGGCCAUUCCACUGUUCUUUCAAACUGGCUACCAUUGCUAUAAAAUGCGGUCCUAGUCAGAGAAGACAUAUAGGGGAAAAUGGCAGUUGAUCAAGUCAUUCUACGAGUUCAUGAAUAGUGCUGCUUGCAGGAGCAUUGCAGGCAGGGAAGGUAAAUCUUUAUGUAGAAUAUGUAGUUGUACCCAUGAGAGCUGCCUUCUCUGAUGGGAGGGGUCAACUUUUUUUUAGGGCCACCCUUGAGUGGGACUGGAGUACAAUAUACAUUCAUUACCUUCCAUCUUUUCUGCCAGCAGAGCUCUGAUUUUCUUCUGAGAAGUCGUAUCCAUGUGCCAGAAAACAAGUAGGGUUACUAUUACCCAGUCACAAGAGAUGAGUAUUACAAAUAAAAUACUACAAAAAAAAAUAGAACACUAGGCUAUUCUAAGCCAGUCAUGAUUGUGUUUUUCCUUGCUAGGAUACGUAAUAAAAUUUUAACUGAGAUUUAAUAGAAUAUGCUGAGGGACUUCUUGGAAAUGAGUCCUCCUCCUAAAAGGUUAUGUAUAAAAGGAACAGACCCUUUCUGGCCUCUGCAUGUUGUUAUGUGCAUUUGACACCUGGAUCUAAAGCAAACAUCUUGAGAAAAUGAAGGACACUAGCUUAAGUGCAUAAGCUAACAAAGUGAGGAUGGCAUACUGGAAAGAUGAAAACAACCUAGAUCCUUGAUAAUGUUGUUAAGCCACUGAAUUAGUCACUCAUGGAAUUGCUUUGCCUGUAAACUUAUUGUGUGCAAAACAAGAAACAAAACUCCCAAAUGUGGAAAUGACUGAAUGAAGGAGGUAGGGCAAAGGGCA